rnacentral:rRNA from 1 species
CUCUGUGACUCCUACGGGAGGCAGCAGUGGGGAAUAGUUGCACAAUGGGCGCAAGCCUGAUGCAGCAACGCCGUGUGAGUGAAGAAGGUUUUCCGGAUCGUAAAACUCUGUCCUAAGGGAAGAAACAAAUGACGGUACCUUAGGAGGAAGCCCCGGCUAACUACGUGCCAGCAGCCGCGGUAAUACGUAGGGGGCAAGCGUUAUCCGGAAUCACUGGGCGUAAAGGGUGCGUAGGCGGCUUAGCAAGCCAGGGGUGAAAGGCAUUGGCUCAACCAAUGUAAGCCUUUGGAACUGUUAAGCUUGAGUGCAGGAGAGGUAAGUGGAAUUCCUAGUGUAGAGGUGAAAUUCGUAGAUAUUAGGAGGAACACCAGUGGCGAAGGCGACUUACUGGACUGUAACUGACGCUGAUGCACGAAAGCGUGGGUAGCGAACAGGAUUAGAUACCCUGGUAG